UACAGAGGGGGCCAGCGUUAUUCGGAAUUAUUGGGCGUAAAGGGCGCGUAGGCGGCCAUGCGUGUCUUCCGUGAAAUCCCUCGGCUUAACCGAGGACGUGCGGAAGAAACUGCAAGGCUCGAGUCCGGAAGAGGGGGGCGGAAUUCCCAGUGUAGCGGUGAAAUGCGUAGAUAUUGGGAGGAACACCAGUGGCGAAGGCGGUCCCC
rnacentral:rRNA from 1 species